GAUGAAGAACGUAGCAAAAUGCGAUAAGUAAUGUGAAUUGUAGAAUUCAGUGAAUCAUCGAAUCUUUGAACGCACAUUGCGCCCGCCAGUAUUCUGGCGGGCAUGCCUGUUCGAGCGUCAUUUCAACCCUCAAGCCCCCGGGUUUGGUGUUGGGGAUCGGGCUGUACUCCAGCCCGGCCCCGAAAUCUAGUGGCGGUCUCGCUGCAGCCUCCAUUGCGUAGUAGCUAACACCUCGCAACUGGAACGCGGCGCGGCCAAGCCGUUAAACCCCCAACUUCUGAAUGUUGACCUCGGAUCAGGUAGGAAUACCCGCUGAACUUAAGCAUAUCAAUAAGCGGAGGA
rnacentral:misc_RNA from 1 species